rnacentral:rRNA from 1 species
AAGUAAAAGUCGUAACAAGGUUUCCGUAGGUGAACCUGCGGAAGGAUCAUUACCUAGAGUUGCGGGCUUUGCCUGCCAUCUCUUACCCAUGUCUUUUGAGUACCUUACGUUUCCUCGGCGGGUCCGCCCGCCGAUUGGACAAUUUAAACCAUUUGCAGUUGCAAUCAGCGUCUGAAAAAAACUUAAUAGUUACAACUUUCAACAACGGAUCUCUUGGUUCUGGCAUCGAUGAAGAACGCAGCGAAAUGCGAUAAGUAGUGUGAAUUGCAGAAUUCAGUGAAUCAUCGAAUCUUUGAACGCACAUUGCGCCCCUUGGUAUUCCAUGGGGCAUGCCUGUUCGAGCGUCAUUUGUACCUUCAAGCUCUGCUUGGUGUUGGGUGUUUGUCUCGCCUCCGCGCGCAGACUCGCCUCAAAACAAUUGGCAGCCGGCGUAUUGAUUUCGGAGCGCAGUACAUCUCGCGCUUUGCACUCACAACGACGACGUCCAAAAGUACAUUUUUUACACUCUUGACCUCGGAUCAGGUAGGGAUACCCGCUGAACUUAAGC